rnacentral:rRNA from 1 species
UACGUAGGGUGCAAGCGUUAUCCGGAAUUAUUGGGCGUAAAGAGCUCGUAGGCGGUUUGUCGCGUCUGCUGUGAAAACUGGAGGCUCAACCUCCAGCCUGCAGUGGGUACGGGCAGGCUAGAGUUCGGUAGGGGAGACUGGAAUUCCUGGUGUAGCGGUGAAAUGCGCAGAUAUCAGGAGGAACACCGGUGGCGAAGGCGGGUCUCUGGGCCGUAACUGACGCUGAGGAGCGAAAGCAUGGGGAGCGAACAGG